rnacentral:rRNA from 1 species
CCUACGGGAGGCUGCAGUAGGGAAUAUUGGGCAAUGGGCGCGAGCCUGACCCAGCCAUGCCGCGUGCCGGAUGAAGGCCUUCUGGGUUGUAAACGGCUUUUCUCAGGGAAGAAAAAGGUGAUGCGUCACAAACUGACGGUACCUGAGGAAUAAGCACCGGCUAACUCCGUGCCAGCAGCCGCGGUAAUACGGAGGGUGCAAGCGUUGUCCGGAUUUAUUGGGUUUAAAGGGUGCGUAGGUGGCCCGUUAAGUCCGGGGUGAAAGCCCACAGCUCAACUGUGGAACUGCCCUGGAUACUGGCGGGCUUGAGUCCAGACGAGGUUGGCGGAAUGGAAGAUGUAGCGGUGAAAUGCAUAGAUAUCUUCCAGAACCCCGAUUGCGUAGGCAGCUGACUAGGCUGGUACUGACACUGAGGCACGAAAGCGUGGGGAGCGAACAGGAUUAGAUACCCUGGUAGUCCACGCCGUAAACGAUGGAUACUCGCUGGUGGCGAUAGACAGUCACUGGCUUAGCGAAAGCGGUAAGUAUCCACCUGGGGAGUACGCUCGCAAGNGUGAACUGAAGAUUGACGNNGAGAGNGCGAGACGACGACGAGGGAGGAGG